GGUGUAACCACUUGUAGCUUGCUCAGCCAGGCUACAGAAUGCCCCAAUUCUCCACCGUUGCCUGAAGAUCUCUUGAACGCCACUGAUUCAGAAGGAGGAACCAGAGGCCCAUUCUCUGAGGACCAACGGCUGGCUGUGGGGACCUUGUUCAAAGGCAAAAAUCUCGUUAAGGGUGAAAAGGGGAAUAUCUGCUAUAGUUG
rnacentral:lncRNA from 1 species